rnacentral:rRNA from 1 species
AACGAACGCUGGAGGCAGGCUUAACACAUGCAAGUCGAACGCAUCCUUCGGGGUGAGUGGCAGACGGGUGAGUAACGCGUGGGAACGUGCCCUUCAGUUCGGGAUAACCCAGGGAAACUUGGGCUAAUACCGGAUACGUGCGAGAGCAGAAAGAUUUAUCGCUGAAGGAUCGGCCCGCGUCUGAUUAGCUAGUUGGUGGGGUAAUGGCCCACCAAGGCGACGAUCAGUAGCUGGCCUGAGAGGAUGAUCAGCCACAUUGGGACUGAGACACGGCCCAAACGCCUACGGGAGGCAGCAGGGGGGAAUAUUGGACAAUGGGCGCAAGCCUGAUCCAGCCAUGCCGCGUGAGUGAUGAAGGCCUUAGGGUUGUAAAGCUCUUUCGUCCGGGACGAUAAUGACGGUACCGGAAGAAGAAGCCCCGGCUAACUUCGUGCCAGCAGCCGCCGUAA